AAAGACCUUGUCUUUCUCUUGGAAUCUCUUCCCCUCUGGCAGGAAGUAGAGGAAGAGGAAACUGACUUUGGAAACCAGGCAUACCUAGUUGUGCUGUCAGCCAAAGCCCACCAAGUUCAUCCUGUAAAGUCACAUGCCUGAACAUUCAUCAGCUAGAAUUCCUCUGUAAGAAGAACUAUCCCUCAUCUACUAGGGUUAUUUGGUCUGUUGCAGUUUGUGGGAGGUCCACUUCAGACCCUGUUCAACUGGGUAUCACCAGUGGAGGCUGUAGAACAGCAGUAUCACCAGUGGAGGCCACAGAACAGCAAAGAUUGCUGCCUACUCCUUCCUCUGGAAGCUUCGUCCCAGAGGGACACAGGUCUGAUGCCAGCCAGAGCUCUCCUGUAUGAGGUGUCUGUUGAUCCCUGUUGGGAGGCCUCUCCCAGUCAGGAGGCGUGGGCAUCAGGGACCCACUUCAGGAGGCAGUUCUGUCCCUUAGCAGAGCUCGAGUGCUGUGCUGGAAGAAUCCUCGUCAGGAUCAGCUGCUCUCUUCAGAGACAGCAGGCAGGAAAGUUUAAGUCCACUCAAACUGCGCCCACAUCCACCCCUUCCCUCAGGUGCUCAGGUGCUCUGUCCUAGGGAGAUGGGAGUUUUAUCUAUAAGCCCCUUACUGGGGCUGUUGCCUUUACUUUAGAGAUGCUCUGCCCCAUGAGGAGGAAUCUAGAGAAGCAGUCUGGCCACAGCCACUUUGCCACGUUGUGGUGAAUUCCGCCCAGCCCAAACCCCCCAGCCUCCUUAGCAGUGUCAGCAGAAAACCAAACACUAAAGCCUCAGUAAUGGCGGACACCCCUCCCCGCACCAAGCUAGAUCGUCCCAGGUUGACUUCAGACUGCUGUGCCAGCCGCGAGAAUUUCAGCCAGUGGUUCUUAGCUUGCUGGGCUCCAUGGGAGUGGGACCCGCUGAGAGAGACCACUUGGCUCCCUGGCUUCAGCCCCCUUUCCAGGAGAGUGAAUGGUUCUGUCUCACUGAGGUUCCAGGCGCCACUGGGAUAUGGAAAAACUCCUGCAGCUAGCUUGGUGUCUGCCCAAACAGCUGCCCAGUUUUGUGCUUGAAACCCAGGGCCCUGGUGGUAUAGGCACGUGAGGGAAUCUCCUGAUCUGCAGAUUGCAAAAACCAUGGGGAAAAACGUAGUAUCCGGGCCGGGUAGCACAGUUCCUCAUGGCUUCCCUUGGCUGGGGGAGGGAGGUCCCCUGGAUUCUUGCAUUUCCUGGGUGAGGCGAUGCCCCACCCUGUUUUUGCUUGCACUCUGUGGGCUGCAUCCACUGCCUAACCAGUCCCAGUGAGAUGAACUGAGUAGCUCAGUUGGAAAUGCAGAAAUCACCUGCCUUGUGCGUUGGUCUCGCUGGUAGCUGCAGACCAGAGCUGUUCCUAUUUGGCCAUCUUGUCUGUACUCCAAAAUUCCUUCUUGCUUGGGGGAGAUUAGUCUUUGUUCUAUUAAAGCCUUCAAUUGAUAGUAUCAGGCCCACCCACAUUAUACCCUUUCAUAUUUUAAUGUUAAUUUGUGCCUUCUUUAUUUUUGAAAUCAUACUUGCCAAAAACUUUUGUAUUCUAUUAGUCUUUUCAAAUAAAUAUUAUUUCCUCUUAUCGAUCUA